ensembl:miRNA Mir653 microRNA 653
AUUUUUCAUUCUUUCAGUGUUGAAACAUUCUCUACUGAACCAAGCUCCAAAACAAGUUCACUGGGGUUUGUUUCACUAUUGCAAGAAUUGCUAAGUA